GUGGAUUCAAUCCAGGGCCUUAUGCAUGCAAGGCAGGCACUCUACCAAGUGAGCUAUAUCCCCAGCCCCAGAUAAAUAUAUUUAAUAUGUUUAUUUUAGCUCUCUUUCCCUAAUCUUUGUCACUUGUGAAUUACCAUUGGCCACAGUUAGCCUUAUCUGAGUACCAUGUGUGUUACUAUUUUCUGAAUAUUGUUCUUAAACUGACUCACUUUCUCAAACUUACUUACAGGGGAAGUUGAUAUUAUUUCUGUAAAUGAGAAACCAGGAAGAUAUACUUGCCGUAAAUAAAUGGAAGUUCUAAACAUAAAUAAAGAUCCAAGAAAAACAACAUUAAAUUCUAAUUAGAUAUUGUUAUGUCCUUAUCUUGUGGUCUAUGGUCUUUGUUAUGAAAGAGCAUUAGCUAAUAUUUAAGAAUGAUGAGGAUAGAGUUAUAGCAUACUAAAACUUAAACCUUGAUAUAAUCAGUGGAAAGAAAAAAAUGGGAAAAGAUAUACCUUUUUAACUACAUUUAUUUCAAAUUUGAUAUACCUAAUAUUAGUUCCUGAUGGCUUAGGGAAUUCAGUUCUUUAAAAACAGAUUGAUUCUUUUAUUUCUAGAGUCAAAGCAAUUAAUCAAACCACUAUCUAUUACUGAACAUUUUGCACAGCCAAAAAGUCCAGGGUCUGUUGUCUUUAUUCAAAAAAAGUUUUCUCUUGAAGCAAAGGAAAUGACAUAUUUGUGAAAAUUUAAUAAUGUCAAAACAACUCAGGAAAUGUAUUCUUUGUCAUGUACUUGGGGCACACUGUAAUGUUAUGGAUAUGUUUAGCAUAAGUUAAAUGUAAAUUCUGGGGUGUAUGUAUCAAACCCAAAUUUUAAGGUGCAAAUGUAAUGUCAAGAGUGUGGCCUAAUUUGACUGGAUUAACACUGGCAGUUUUUCCUCUCUUGCUCAGUUUUUCAUUUAGACAGUAUCUGACACCCAGACAUUGAACUGAUGUAUGGAGAUUCUUAUGAAUAGAAACUGUCACAUCACGAUUUCUGAGCUCUUAAUUUUUUUCCCCCUAGAGAACUAUGAAUCUAUUUUUACAUUUGUCUUUUGUUCAUAAAGGUCAGAUAUAAAUAAAGUAGUCAACAUCUCAUCCAAAUAUUCUAGAGAGCACAGCUAAUAUUCUAGUUGUCUUUAUACAAGCAACCCUUAGUAGCUUGCUUUCAUUGACACACAGUAUGUAAAAGGGAUUUUCACAAUUGCCAGUGUGAUUUUGAAUCCAUGUUUUACCUUAUUUUAUCUCACAGAAACAUUUUUAGCAUGUAAAAAUUAGCUCACUAGAUUUUAGUCAAAUCUCUUAUAAUACUAGUCUAUGCUAUAUAACUUGGUGUACAAUUAUGUUUAUAUUUUUGUUUGAUUUAUAGUAUGUUAUAUAUGUUUCCCAACUAGAUUAUGGGCAUCUUCAGUAAAAUUUUACAUACAUAAAUAGUGGUGUGUGUGUGUGUGUUUGUGUGUGUGUUUUGAUAUCUUGAUACACGCCUUAAGUGGGUUCUCUGAGGUCAGGCCCUUGCAAAGUACUUAUUCGGUAACUGAUACAGAUCCAGCAUGUAUUUAGCCCUUGUUUAUCCUUGCUAUUUUAUUGAGACCAACUGCAUAAGUAGUUUGAAAGAACAUUAUUUUUUUACAUCGAACUUUUAAAUACAUGCUGAUCAUCUUUAAUCUGAAAAUCCAAAAUCUGAAAUAAUCCCCAAACUGAAAUUUUUAAAGUGCUGACAUGUGAAAAAUUCACACAUGAGUUCAUGUGAUGAGUUGCAAUCACAAUAUCCAUGCAAUAAAAAUAUCGUGUAGUAUUACCUUCAUGCUAUGGGCAUAAGGCAUAUAUAAAACAUAAAUGAAUUUUGGUUUAGGACUUGGAUCUCUUCUCCAAGAUGUCUCAUGAUGUAUAUGCAAAUAUACCAAAUUGUGAAGCAAUCUGAAAUUCAAAACACUUCUCUUUCCAAGCAUUUCAAAUAAAGGCUAUUCAACCUGUAUUAUGGUUUUUUUUUUUUUAAUAUUAGACUUUAGAUUGAAAUAGGAGUAGAAGGUACAAAUUUCCUUUAUCAAUGAUGCUUUGCUUCCUAAUUCUUUAUGCCAACGGAGGCACUGAGGAAAUGCACACCAGGUCCCACCAGGAUGCUUCCUGGAGAUGCAGAUUUUUUUCGUGAUCUUUGCAGGGCCGUGUCAUUUUAAUGAGAUGCUCAGUCUGACAGAAAUUAUUGAUGGCCUCAAUCUGAGACAAGUGCCAGCUGGAAUCAGCUGUAAAAUGGCAGCUCACACUGCUGCCCUCAGGGUUUCUGCUGGGAGCAAAGGCUAAAGAAAGGAAGGGUUGAAAGGCACACCACUCUCUGGCAGGAAUGAAGGGAGGUCACUGUGACUUGGGUAAUGAGUGUAGCAUAGUAUACAAAGUAAUUGAAUUAAUGGAGAAAAGCAUGGCUCUCAAAUUCCAAAUUGUAUUGUUAAUGCUUUUUUUUCUUAAUGGAUUUAAAAAAUAGUUCAGAGUUUUCCCAAAGUCAUUCAAACUGGUUUGUCACAUAGACCAAUUUAAAUAUUGAAGAGGGUGACGGAUGGGUCAAUAGUAAUGAGAAACCUGAAGGUCAAGAACCUUGGGUUCAUGUGAAGUCUUUGCACAUGAACCAUGCAAUUUUACAAAUGCAGAAAUGUUCAGUACCAACAGCCAAGAAUCCAUUCAUGCAUUGGCUUCUGUUUGAGGAGUUGUUCGGUUCCUUAGUACCUUAACAUAUGUUUAACCCACAAGAGAAUAUUAAUCAUUGAACCAGUUGUUAAGUUUUUGUUAGUUUCCUUUCUUUAAGAAAAAUGAUGAAACAACUAAGUUAGGCUGCUUCCAAUGGCUGCUGUAGGAAUCACUCUCCUGCCAGCAAGAGGCCCCUUUCUUCUAUCCAGGCCACUUGCCUGUCCUUUAUAGGGAAGACCAGCUCAUUCUUUUAUUUUGAUAUCAGGGAUUGAACUCAGGGCACUCAACCAUUGAGCCACAUCCCCGGCCUUAUUUGGUAUUUUAUUUAGAGACAGAGUCUUAUUGAGUUGCACCUCACUUUUGCUGAGGCUGGCUUUGAACUCCUGCCUCAGCCUCCUGAGCCACUGGGAUUACAGGCAUGUGCCAACACACUCCACUCCCAGCUUAUUCUUAACUGAUACUCUUUCCUAUGUGCUCAACAGAUUGUUGGGGAUGUUUUAGGUAGUGUAUCAGUUAACAUUUUUAUUUAUAUAACAAAGUAUUUUUUUUAUUGUAUUGGAGUGUAAAAGCACAGUUGUUGAAAGUUCUUCUUUAGCAAGUGUCCAAAUUUUAACCUAUUAAUGAUAGGACCAGGAGGAGGUCAAAAGAGUUGAUUCUAUGUGCAUUAGAAGGACAGGGAUGUAUAUAGUUAGCAAGAAGGAAAAGCAGAAAGAAAAUUGCAUAAUUAGGGGAUGGGGUUGAGGCUCAGUGGUAGAGCACUUGCCUAGCACAUAUGAGGCCCUGGGUUUGAUCUUCAGCACCACAUAUAAAUAAAUAAAUAAAACAAAGGUAUUGUUUCCACAACUAAAAAUAAAAAAUAAUUUUAAAAAAGAUUGCUUAAUUAAGUAUAAAACUUUUGAAAGUUCUACAGCGUGAUAAAACCAUACCAACGUCUUGUUCAGAAUUAAAGUCAUACCAACAUGCCGAUUUCUGUAGGUUAACUUCUAAUACUACAGGGUUAUUAUCAGCAUGUACAUUUAUUGGUGCAGAUUGUUAGUUAAAUAAUCUUUGACUUAUCCUAAGAGUAUCGGAUUAGGACCAAGUAUGGUUAUUAGAAAAUUUUCUAGCUUGAUGAGGAGUGAAGGGGGCAAACCUCUCCUUUACUUUCCAUUCUUUUUAGAUCAACUGGAUCACUAGUUUUUCAGGAAAAAAAAUUCCCUCUAGUAGGAAUAAAGGAAGUCAGUGUUUAGUAAUUGCAGCAUAGCGUAAGGAAUAACUGAGACAGCAGAGAAGAACCAGGCUCUAUGGACUAGGCCAAAUGCAUGUGCAAUUUUUAGGCCACAAAUUCAGGAAUAAAAAUGUGACUUCUGAUAUUUCCUCCAAACUCAAUAUCUAUCUCUGCCAUUAUCAAAAGACAUAAUCCGUUUUCCUACAGGUAAAUUUUAAUGUGUUGCUGAUUUCUUUAUUAAAUUAGAAUGAUAUUCGGCAAAUUGACAAUCGUUCUUCUCUCUCUUUCCCAGGGUGGAAUUUUUUGUUCCCAGGGCUUUGUUGCAUUUUAGUUCUGGGGCUUUGAGACUGCUGUGCUGACACUGAUUUGAGUGAGUGUGGUUACCCUUCCACAUUGGGGCCUUAGUAGUGGCACUAUGGUGGCUGCCUUACUUCUAGAUUCUGUCUGUGUUUCCACCCAUGGUUGUGUCCCCUUGACAAGAAAGCAAGAUCUCUACAGGGCAAGCUGGCCUGCUCCGACUUCCCAUCUUCUCAGGGACAUGGGGAGGGCAGCCUAUUCUUCCCCAUCGCCCGGGCAUGAAGACUUGGCGACUCAGAAUUUCUCUGCUCUGAUGUCCCAUGAAGCUCUCUCUACUGCUUCCCACUUGCUCCCCCAUACCAUAGUGGGAAGGAGCACACACCUUGCAUGCUCGGAUCCCCAAAAUCUGAGUUCUGUCGUCCAACCGUUCCCCUCCUUCCUGCUUCAACACCAGACUUUGCCCAGAGCGAGUUGGACUGUGGGUGCCUCCUGAGCCUUACUCUUCUUCUUGUCUCCACAAGUCCCUCCUCUGAGAAGCUUUAUUGCACCUUGAGGGGGCAGGGAGAAGAGUUUGUUCAGCGACAGUUCUUUUGAAUCUUUCUGCCUUUUGUUUAGACUAUUGCUUUUUUAAAAAAUUUUUCUUUAUUUGUCAAUGGACCUUUAUUUAUUUAUUUAUAUAUGAUGCUGAGGAUCAAACCCAGUGCCUCAUACAUUCCAGACAAGCUUGCUACUGCUGAGCCACAGCCUCAGCCCCUAGACUAUUGUUUUUUUAAAGCCCAGGAUCUCACUCUCAGUUCCCUGGCUCCUCUCUUUCGUGCCAUCUUGGGCAAAUGCUGCCUCAUGCUCUGCUGCUGGACUGGGGAUGUUGGUGGGAUCAAGAGUGAGAGGUAAUGCAGCUGCGUGCAUUGUGCAAACAGUGCUGGCCCUGUUCUAUGUGGCCAUCUCUAGGAAUUUCAACUUUAAAAUCCCUGAGGUGGUAUUUUAUAUUAUGGAAGAAUAACUGAAGAGAUGGUAGUUUUUGAACUGGGGGACCCUUCCCCUCAAACAUACAAAAUUGUUAAGUCAGAACAGGAUGAAAGAUGCAUUACAGAAAAGCCUCAGCUAGAAUUUAAGAGGGAAGGACUUCAAAGCAGUCUUGCUUCCGUGGCCUUUAAACCUCUUGUUUCUGAAGUUUCAAAUGAAAGGAGUUUGUUCCUGAUCACCCAGAGGGCAAAAGGGGAGCUGAUAUUUUGACACAGCUUUCUGCCAUCCUGUGGGAAAUUGCACCAGGGCUAAGGGUAGCAGAGGAACAAGGCCCAGACUGUCAAGUCCCUUUCUAACAGUUCCUGCCAACAGAUUGUACAACUGUCUGUUGGUCUGCAUCAGGAAUUUUCCCAUGCCCAGCAUCUUCUCUGUCACUUUCCUUUUUUUUUUUUUAAUGAAAUGUUAUAUUAGUUAACUCUUCAUGACUAUAAUGAAUUACCUGAGGCAGACUAACUUUAUAAAGAAAAGAGGCUUAUUUAGCUCAUAGAUUUGGAGGUUUAAGAGCAAUGUGCUGGUACUGGUUCAGUUCUGGUGGUAUCUUUCUUGUGGCAGUCACUAGGCAGUAUGUGGAGUCACAAACAGGAGACAGAAAGCAUGGCUGUCUGUGUCUGUAUCAUUGGUCUCUCUCCUCCUUCUAGUAAAGUUUCCAGUAUUCAAUCAUGGAGGAAUCCACCCUAAUGGCCUUAUCUAAACUUAGUAACUUCCAGGAGGCCCAAUUCUGAACACCAUAAGCGGAUUAUGUCUGUACCCUCUUAACAGUGUUACAUGCCUUCAGUGAUUGAACUCCUGCAUAAAUCUGGGGGAACAAACCAGAUUGAAACCAUAGCAGAUGUCACUCUCUUAACCACAGAGGCCCAGGAUUCAGCAGCCUCGGGGGCUCCUGAUUUCCACAGAUGGCGACCACAUUGUAGAUCUUCACCAAUGCAUAGACAAGCCUAACCCAGUUCCACUUUUCACCACGUGCCCAUUACAGAUGAAGACAUCAAGGCCCAAAGAAUUUGUGAGUUCUCUGAAACCGUGCUGCUAGUACCUAGAGGAGAGAGCAUGUUCAAUCCAGGACCUUAGCAUGGCUUUAGGCCUCUCCUUAUGAGAGGGUCUUUCCUGAAAUAUAGGCACCUGGUGACUCCUCACCCUCCUGCAUGGUGUCUGGUGGCCUCCAGCUCUGCACAUGCCGUGACUUUUCAUGACACUACACACACAGCACCUCACACUGCUACUCUCCAGGUGCCACCCUCUCUUAAUUUGACUGACUGUUAUUUUCUGGAACUUUUCCUUGUAUUCAGAAGCCACCACUCAAAUAGACCCUUCCUCACACCGAAGCCAUGUACCAAUCAAAGACCUACUGAUUCCUCCUGGUCUUCUCAAGUGGAACCUUUGCACCUUUUGUCACUGGGUGGAUCUCCCACAAAACCCUUGUGAAUGAGGACAGAGGGUGAGAGUGAAUCAGUACCGUCUUUCAUCAGGACUCUUGGUCCAGACUGGAUUAGCUUAUGUGUGUGUUGGCCCCAGUCAUUAAGGAAAGAAUAUUUUCACCACUUCUUCUCCUCUUUUACCUUUCUUCUCUCCACCUGUCCAAAACUUCCUGAUUCUUAGCAGACAGAAUUCAGAAAAAUCAUCGGUUGAUACUAUGUCUUGGUCAGGUGGGGGGAUGCAGUGCAGUCUGUGUGUGUGUGGUGUGCGUACCCACACAUGUGUGCAUGCAAUUUGUACUAACAGAUUCAGGGUUAUAAGUCAGGUUAUGAAUUACAGUUUCAAUAGAGUGGCUAUAUAGCAUAAGUCAAGUAUAAAGCACAAGAGACCGGCAACUUUCUUGGAUAUUUUGGUGGACUCUGAGAUAAUAAAUCAAAACACAGGAUGCUGUGCAAGAUUCAAAGACUUGUUACUUCCAACUCAUUACACAUGGGUGCUUUACAAAAAUAUUUACAUUGAAAUCUUGAAGAUAUGGGUAGAACAUUGUGUUCAGAAUAACAGCCCUCAUAAUAAGAAAAAUAGUACUUCAGGCUGGAAAGAAGUCUCAGUAUUAUUUUAUUUUUGUGGUAACCAGAAGGAUUGCCUGUGGUGACAUGGCCUCCUAGAGAGGGUUCGGAAGAACUGGGGACCCCCUCACACCCGUCUAGCCUGAGUCCGGGCAGUAACAUGCAGGGCCUGCCCGCUUUCAUGUCCCAGCGUUCACUUGCACUGUGAUCUUCGUUGGGCAAUUUGCUGAUUCCACUAAGGCUCAGUGUUUUAGUUUAGGCUACUGGAAAAAUCCCAUCCACUGAGCAGCAAAUAAACAACAGAAAUUUAUUUUUCAUAGUUCUGCAGACUAGAGGUCCAAGAUCAAGGUGCUGGCAAAUUCUGUGUCUGGUGAGAACCUGCUUCCUGGCUCACACUAGGCUCUUUCUAGCUGUGUCUUCACAUGGUGGCAAGAAUAGCAGAGCUCCCUUGGGCCUCUUUUCUAAGGGCACUGAUCCCAUUUACGAGGGCUCUGCCCCCAUGACCUUGUCACCAUCCCUUGCUUCCUAAUACUGUCAACUUGGGGUUCAGGAUUUCAACAUCCGAGUUUGGGGGAAUAAGAAGGAUUCAGACUACACUACUCAAUUUGCUCAUCUGUAAAAUGGGGGCAAAACAGUCACCCUUCAGUGUGAUUGUGUGUGAGAGAAUCAGUGAGUGAAGGGCUUCCCAAUGUCUUGCCCCAUCUGUGCCAAGAAAGCACCAUUCUUCCCCCCAGAUGCUCUUAACUAACACUCCAGAGGGGAAAAGAGCAGUUUGAUUCCAUCCUUGUCUCAGAGUAAGGAAGCAAGUAGGAUUAGUUUUGAUUCUUGAAAGUAAAUUGCCUCUUAUGAGGAAUUUUGUACUUCUUUGUUUUAAAAUACUAAAUUGUUUUAAUAAAAACUAUGAAAGAAUACAAAGUGUUCUAAUAGUUUAAACUUUAAAUUUGUUAAAAACAAUUUUUUUCCUACAGUAUUAAAUUUUAAGGAGACCAAAUAUGGUAUCAAUGCCACAGUAAGAAGUACCAUAUAGAUAUGAAUCUUGGGCAUGUUAUAUCUCACUGACAUUGUUACAAUCAACCUCAUUGAUAUCAUUUUUUUUCUUUUACUCCCCCCUCCCCGACUCCCUUCUUUUUUGUGUUGGGGAUUGAACCCAGAGCUUUGAGCACUCAUUGAUUUCUUUUUAAGGGAAAAUUAUUUUAGUAAAAAAAUUUUGGGGGGGAUAAAAUUGUUCAUAUAAAUAUAAUCUGCUUUUUUUGUGAAUAGUUAGGAAGUGUAGUAUUAUUAAUGAGCUAAUUUGAAAGAUUGAGAGAAAAUGCUUUAAAACUAGAUUCAAUGAUAAGGCUAAUAUUUGCCGUGAACUUGGUGGUUGUUCAUCAGUAGAUGAAGAAUAAAAAUAAGGGAAUAUAUUUAUUUGGAUUUUCAAAAAAUGUUUUGUUUUCCUGAAAUUAUUAAGGGAUAAAUUAAUCUUCAUUCGAGGGAAGGAGGAUGCUAAAAAUGUGAGAAUUCGAUCAGAUGAAAAACCCAGAAUCAGCUACACUUGUCCAGGGAAAUCAAGAUUUUGCAAAUAUUCAGGUAGACUUCUUACACAUCAUUCCCAGUCUGAAGUUUCCUUUGUCUCCCCAGUCCUAACUCAUAUCCCAGUUUAGUAAUCCUGCAAGAAUCCCCCAUGGCUCUAAGCAGAUGAUGGGACCCCAGCUUGCUGUGAUACAGUGACAGCAUGUACCUGAGAGAUUUGGCAGUACCUGAGACUAAACAUUAAUUUUAGUUCAGGUGGCAGGGUGGGAAAGACCCUUUAAAUUCAAAAUAAGUACAGAUUAGGUGAAAAUGCUUUUAAAUGCAAAGUACAAUAAAAGGAUCAGUAUUCAGAAUAUGUAAGAAUAUUUACAAAUUAGCAAGAAAAAAUACAGCAAAGUAUAGUAACCUCACUUGUAUUCAAAAAAUACAACAGAAAAAAAUCAGAUUGGCACAAUUGAAAAUUUGAUAAUAUGUAGUGUUGAUUAAGGUAUAGGAAAAUAGUUUCUCUUCUGUCAGAGUAUAAGGUGACUUAGCCAUUUAAAAAUGCGUUUAUUACAGGGGGCUGAAGAUGUGGUUCAGUUGGCAUAAAGCUCACCUAGCAUGUGUGAGGACCUGGGUUCAAUCCUUGCCCCUCAAAUAAUUUGUCACUGUAAGAAAUGUGUAUAUUCUAGGGACCAGCUAUUUAAUUUCUCCAUAUCAGCUUUGAAAAAGCUCUUGUACUUAACACACAAUGAGGCAUGCACAUGUAUACACAGUGCAGCAUCACUUAAAAUCAUGAGAAUCGAAAUGCAACUCAGUGCCCAGCAAGGCAGGAGUGGCCAAGUAAACCAUGGUGCUUCCAGAACAUGUGAAACUAUCAGCAGUUAUAUGGAAUGAGCUAGAACUGGGUGUGUUGGGGGAAGAAAAGGAUCUCCAUGAGAGGCUGAGAAAACAAAUUGUGAAAUAGUCUAUAAGAUGUGAUGUGUCACCAUUCAUUUAAAAGGCAAAGGAGGGAAGAAGGGAGGGAGGGACUGAAGAAGGAAGAAGGACAGAAGGAUAGAAAAGGAGGAAAUAAUACUAGAGACUUUCUAUAGUAGUGACUUUCAAUGUCUUUUGGAAAUAACCCUCAAUAAGAUACACCCAUCAUGUCUUGAUGGAGUGGACCCUUACUACAUGAGAUGUACUCUGAAAUUGUUCUUUCCUGUUCUAAUUUGCUUUGUUCCAUUUGUCAAAAUGGAAUGAAUCGAAUUACAACACAUUAAAUUGAUUUCAGGACUCAACCAUAGUUUGGAAAGUAGUGUUCUGGAGAUACACACACACACACACACACACACACAAAUGGAUAGAAAAAGACCAAAAGGCAAUACACCAAGUUGAUAUUAGGGAUUAUCUGGGUAGGUGUGGAAGUGUGGGGUGGUUUCUAGGGAGCCUGAGCACCAUCUGUAAUACUUAUAUUUUGAUCAUUUGCUGUUUUAUAAGGAACAAACAUAAUUAAACAUCUGAAAUUUAGUUUUUUGAAUAAGCCAUCAAAACUAUUUUUGAAAGUCAAGAAUUUACUGGGAUUAAGAGGGUAGUGGUCUUAAGGGAAAUAAUUUUCAAGUUAAUUUGCAUAAUUGAUCAGUUCCCAAAGUAGGCAACCUAGCUAACUCUCUCUGUUUUUGUAUUUAGGGCCACAGAUGAGCACAUGCUUGUGGCAAGGUAGAGUCAAACCUGUGUGAUAUCCCACCCCAAAUGUCAUCACAAGCCUAAGAGCUCUCUGCCAAUGCCGUGAGAUUUUAACUUGUUACCUAUGGCUGUCAUGUCUACCAAUAAAAAAUACAAAGUAGUCAAUGUGAAAUGCUAAAAACCCAAGCCCCGCCCCCAUUUUCAGAAAAUGCAUAGUUAAUGUUUCUGUAGUAGCAUCAGCUUGGCCACAUCACCUGGUUUCCAUUUUUUGCUAUGGAUCUGAACAAAGAAAGGGUUGCAUUAUGAGCAUUGUUCCUGCAAGGACUAUCACUGUAGAAAAUGUGGCAGGUGUACACUUGGCCAUCUCUACAAGCUGGAGCAGACAAUUCCCAUUUUCUAUUUUACAGUUACAUUAGUGCUUUCUGAUUUACCUUCAUAUAUUUACCCUAAGGGUAAUUUAUUAAACCUCAUUUUAAUGAUCAAAUAAUUAAUGCUUAAAAAGAGUUAGAGUAUUCAGGGGAGAUAAAUCCUUUAACUUCCAAAUAUUUAAGCAAGAUGUUGACUGCAGAUGACAUAGAAUCUGAUUAUUUCUUGUGCUAAUAUUUCAACUAAAGAUACCUAGUAAAGAGGAUGUUUAUAUUUUAUUCUUUUAUAUGUCUUAAAUAUAAAUUUUAAUAUGCUUAUAAUAACACAUGUUAACUCUUAAACAACUACACUACAUUUUCUCUUUAAAUGUUUUGAAAACAAAGAAUUUAUGGCAAAUAUGCAAGCUUUCUCAGAAAGCACUUGUAUUAGAAUCAUUUUGAAAAAAAUCUUAAUGAUUGCUAAAGCAGUGAUUAUAUUCAAGUUUAAUUUCAAAUAGGUUUGAUGUUGUAUGGAAAGAAGAAAAGUGGAUCAUAGAAACUAUUUUUUUAAAAUGGAAUUAUUAAGGGUUACUAAAAGCAUGCUGAAAGCUAAGGGCAGGGAGAGAAAGAAUAUCAUAAGGCACAUAUCUGAAGUCCCUUUUCCAUGUCCUCCCAUGGGAAGUUAGAGGUAAGAGGAGGUCGAGUUGGUCUGGUGGCCAUCAUAGGGAUCAAGGUCAUCCCUUUAAAUAGCCUGAUAUCAGACUAACAGGUGUCAAGUUGUGUAUGAGUGGCUGAUAAAGCUUUAUAAGGAAAAGUCAGGAAAAAAUAUAAAUGUGCCCAUCUUAGACCUAGGAUGAAAUUCAGGUGAAAAUUAUAAUUCAUAAUAACCAAGGAUUUAAAAAGUACUUAAUUCUAGCUAAGAGAAGUUUUGUUUCUCUGUAACAUUGCCUAUUUGGUGUUUGUGUUUAUUAGUUGGGACAAAAUUGGUUUUAAAAUAUUUUAUGGAGGAUAUAAUGAAUUUAAAAUUUAAAAUCAUUAUAGCCACUUAAGUGUAUCUGAAGCUGGGCUUUUCAGUGGCCACAAAGCACCACUUCCUCCUUGCUGAAACUGCAGGAGAAAUAUCUAGUAGACAAUUGGUCUUGCAAAUGACAGGUACAACCAUUAUGUUACUUAGAAGCUUGAGAAGUAAAGGGAAGGAAUUGUUUAUUCCAAAUCAUAAAAUAUUACAGCGUUUCUUCAUAUUGUCUCAUUUAUAAGGUGAGGUCUUUCCUUUAAAUUUUUUUUUCAGAAAAUUAUCCCAUUUUUUUUACUAAUAUCGUCUUUGAAAGAGAACUUGACUAACUGUGGAAUUUUUCACCCACAGCAUCUGCAGGAAUUGCUGUGUCCCAGAGGAAGGUGCGUCAGAUCAGUGAUCCCAUCCAGCAAAUACUAAUCCAGCUGCACAAAGUCAUCUAUAUCACACAGGUCAGUGUUCCAGCCUUCUAUUUCUUUUCCAUCUGAAACACAAGUUGGGUACUAAUACCACUGAAGAACUACCUUGUAGGACUUCCAGCUGAGUGAACACUUGUUUUUAUUUCCUCCCAGGACACACGUGUAGGGAGACUUCUUGGCAACCAAGCUGGGAGGGCAACAGGGUAAAAAAGCAAAUAGGUCGGGGUUUCCUUGUGAUUUCUUCCUGCCCAGUGCUGCAGUCUGGCUGGGCACAAAUGCCACAGUCUGGCUGGGCACACAAUCACGAGCCNAGGAUGCUCGGUUGACACUAGGAAGGCUCAGAAAUAUGAAAGCCAAAAACCACACAAAAUCCAGGAUUAUUAAGAUUUUCUAUUUGUAAAUCUCAGAGACUUAGGCACUGAGGAAAAAGAAUCAGUAUUGAAAAGUAUCUAUUAAUGAUGGACAGAAACCUGUCUAGUGAAAACAACUUAAAAUAUUCAAUAAGAACUGUAACCAUUUGGGCAAGAAAGUCAGUAUUAUGUUGAAGUUUAUGACUGUGUGUUAUAUGUAGCUUAUUGAUAUAUUUGCUCACUGGAUAUGUGAUGACUAAAUGCCUGCCCUGAGCCAAACACAAUUCCAGGUCACUGGAUCUAUCAGUGACCAAAGCAUAAACACUUCCUCACUGUAAGAUUCAAAGAUCCAAGCAGGAUCUAGUGUGCACCAAUGACUCAGGAGACUGAGGUAGGAGGAUCACAAGUUCAAGACCAGCCUCAAAAAAAGAACUGGGGAUGUAACUUGGUGGUGAAGCACCCCUGUGUUCAAUCCCCAGUACCAAAUAAAUAAAUAAAUAAAUAAGAUUAAAAAAUUCUGCCUUGGGUUGCUGUCAGUAGCCAACUUUGGCAAUUCCAAUUUUCCAUUCAAGUCCUGCAGAGAAAUAUCUAAAGAUCAGUGGACCAGCUGGGAUCAUUAUAAGUGCAUACUUGGGCUGAUAUUUCAUUUAUCACCGAAUACCCUUCCUGCAAAAAAUACAGCAAAAUACUUUUUGAUUGGUGCAACACAGUGGCAUUUUAAGACUCUAGGAAUUUGCUUAUUGGUUUUUAACCAGUGUCUAUUAUUCCCAAAAAACCUGUGCCUCCUUUUCCCCAGUGUACAAUCACUUCAGUAAAUGGCUGCAGAUCUCUGUGGGAAGGCUUGGAGGAAAUGUUAUAGUAUGUUUCAGGACCUGCCUCCUCAUCGCAUCCCAGCUUCCGUAUGAUCCAAGGGGCUCUGGGCCCUUGAGUUGACUUAGGUCUGGAAACUAUAUUGGAAACUAUAACAGUGGCAGUGGCAACUCCGGUCAGGAUCUUGUCUGCCAGAUCUGGAGCUUCUCUUCUGUUUCUUGGGCUCAGAAAUGUCCUACCUAGUAGGCUGAUUACUGAUUUUCUUUCCAGGAACACCCUAGUUAAUUAAUUACCACCAAAGAUGUCUGCAGUGAAAGGCUCUCUAACUAACAGCAUGUUGCCGCUACCUUGUCAUGAACGCUCACCACUUGUCACAUGCUUUCAAAUGGCCUCUCUCUGCCCAUUGGAUACAUUGGAAUACUGUGUCCUUCAGUGUCAUAGCUGGCUUACAAAGGAGAGCAACCCUGGGGCCUUCCAAGGAUGCAGAGGCUCCCCUCUCCGAGUAUUUCUCAGUGCCUUACUAAAAGAAGAGCCUUUUGGGUGUUCUGUCUGAAAGCGGUGGGGGAGUGGACGUGCAGAUCACAUCUAGUAAAUCCACUGCAAUGUUCCUGUUUCUCUGAGCCUUUGGAUUCCCUCCUCCACGUGCCAGAGAAGUUCUGGCACUUUACCAUCACGAAACACAGGCCACCAUUGAAAAUCAGUUUCAGUCCACCAAAUAGUUAAGCUGCACCUCCAUCUGCUGAACUAACACAUUAAAUCUCUACUGUGUGCACCCACAUUGAUGAAUUCAGUCUGGUCUUGUGCUAUAUUUUAUCCUUCCUGGCCUAACAUCCUUAGAAUCCACUUCUGCACAUGUUCUCUGGCUGGUUGCUAAUAUAUAGUAGCAAAAUCUUGCAAUUCUUUUCGAGGAUAGGUUAUUUCCUCCAGAGUGGUGGUGGAUACUAAUUCCCCUAGAUCAUAGUGAGAUACGUCUCUGGCUAUGGAUUUGGUCCUCAUUGUUGUGGAUCUUAUGAAGAAUGAGUAUUUCUUUUAAAGACAUCUGUUCCCAUUGAUUUUAUCAUCCAGUUUUCAAGCAAAGGGAGGUUUGUUUUCUUAGACACAGAGCAACAAGCUUCUUGCAUUAACAAUGAAGGCCCAGAGUGACUUGGGUUUUAAGACUGUCAGCAUGAUCUGGGCUCAGCGAGAAAUCCCUAUUCUAAUUUUUAGUAUCCUUUUCUUUUUUUUCUAACAUUCACAUGAAAAACUUGAUGAAGUGUGAAUUCAACUGACAUUGUAAUUUAUCAGCCUUUCCAAUUAAAUUCAGCAUUUGAUUAUCAGCCAUAUCAGUGCUUUGACAGCACAAAAUAACAGGUUAUUUUGGAGCUGCUGGAAUCUUCCUGGGUCUCAGAUCAUGACUUGAACAGACAGUUAAAAGAUCCACACUUGUUACUUUAUCAGUGCUCCAGUGCACUCAAAAAAGUCCAUUCCAUACCACAGUCCUUGUGGUCUUUGUUGUUGCCUGACAGUCAAGUGCAGUGGCCAUUUGGGCUUUAGUCAGCACUGCAUCGAGGUGAUGAGCUGAUCAGUUGUGGUGCCACUAAAUGAAAUAAGUUACUGGAUCCUAUUGGAUAUUGUCCUGUUGGUGACAAACCAACCAACCAAAUUCAGCACUGAUCCAAGGACACAAUCAUACCACUCCCCAAAUCCUGUCUUUGGGGGUCAAGCUCCUUGGACAUUCCUGGAACCUUUAUCUGGUAUCAGUGAGGGUCCAGUCAGAAACCACACAAUUGUGUUAGUCAGCUUUCCCUCACUGUCACAAAUACCCAAGACAAUCAACUUAUAAAGAGAAAAGUUUUAGGGGUUUAUUGUGGCUCACCAUUUUUGAGAUUCCAGUCCAUGAUGAGUUGGCCCUUGACAGGCCUAUAUCAAGGCAGUAUAUCAUGGUAAAAGAACAUGGCGGUGCAAAUCCUCUCACCUUGUGUCUGAAGAGUAAGAGAGAGGAAAAGGAAGGUGCUGGGGUCUCACUGUCUCCUUCAAGUGCAGGUCUUCAAUGACCUGAAGACCUCCCACUAGGCCCCACCUAUUAAAGGUUCCACUACCUCUCAGUCGUGCCUCCUUGGAAUCAUGCUAUGAACACCUGGGCCCUUGGGGGACAUUCCAGAUCCAAGCCACAACAGUAAUUUCAACAAGGAAUGAGAUUAAUAUAAUAAAUUAUUAACGAUAACAGAAUUUUAUCUACUGAUGAUGAGGAAAGAAAUCCAAAGCACAUAGGAAUAGCAGAUAGAGAAGUCAUAAGCUCUAGGACUGAGGCAGAGCACCUAACAAGGAAACAAAUACGAACACCGCUUACUCUGGAUUGAGGUCCAGACAUCACUGGAAAGGUCAGAGAAAUUUGCAAAAGUGUCAUGCUGGGGAAAGUUGAUCAGAAGCCUCCCUCUGGGGACCAGAGCAAGACAUCACAUGAGGUACCAUGCUGUGGAAGUCGUUGGGAAAUCAGCACUGGAUGGUGUUGGUGUACACUCUCCAUGGAAUCAGGGGAGACUACCCAGAAGUAGGUGUUAUUUCAUAGAAGUCUCUGGAAAGCCACCUACAGAGUCAGUGCUACUGAAUGUGACUUGGGGUGACCUCUUACCACUGGGGUGUCACCGUGUACCACUGGAGCAAGGCAACAGCAUCGCUGGACCAGAAAGAUGAGCUCCAUCCUCCUUCAGGGUCCUUCCAGGGCCUUCCUAUGGGCGAGGUUGGCAUCCAGACAGCUGGUGAAGGAGAGCUGUGUUGGUUUCACAGGCAGGUCAGUCAAGGGCGGACUUGGAGCCGACGGGCACUGAUCAGUGGCCCACAGCCUGGGGACUAGGCAAGCAACUCUCUGGCACCACCCACACCCCCUCUGAUUUCUGCCUCUAGACUGAGGAGCCUCUUUCAUGCGUAGGGUUGAGCAGUCUGGUUCUUAUGUCAAAUUUUGUCCCAAAAUCUAUUGUUCUUUUUGGUCACCCUGAUGUCUGCUCUUUUAGAUGCAAAAGCCAAAAUGGAUUACUUUUCCCUCUUUUUUUCUGCCAUCCUUUUUCUUAGGUAACCACAAAAACCUUUCCAAGUAAAUGAAAAAGGGAGUGAAGGAGUACAAGGAAAUAUGUGUGUAUGGGGAGGAGGGAAGCCCUGGUUAAUAAAUAAAAAUUGUAAUCUGCUCUCUCUUAUAAAGUAUUGUAUUAAAAAUGCAUCUCCAUUUAACCAUUGAUAUGGAAACAUGGGAGACUAUUCUUAACUCUAGUGUUAUAGAAAUAGUUUAGAUGACUUUUCAGUUACCUCAACUAAUAACUAUUAAAUUAAGAGAAAUAUCCUUUGAAAUUUAAGUUCAGCUUCCAUAUGCCUGUCUCGGUAAUUUUGAUGUAAAAAAGGAAAAAAGUUUUUAACGGGUAUAUUCCAUUUCUUUAUUGAAUUUCAAAGUAUUUUUAAAGCAAGAAUAAAACUAUUGUAAAUAUCUGAUUAUUAUGCUUUUAAACUGCCAGUGUGACAAAUGAGUUCGCAUUUUUUUUUUUGGCAGAAUGGCUUUCCUUACUCCAAGUGAAGAUAUAACUAUCAUGGUUUUUCAAAUGUGUUUCAGAAUGCUGGAAAGUUCAUGACAUUGCACAUAGUAAGCAAUGAUUCCCCUCUGGGGAACUUUAACCUACAGUGCUAAACAAAGUCGAUGCUUUUGACACAAAUCAAAAAAUACAGGCCUAAUCAUUAUACUAGGGUAUGUGAUGUAAGUUAGAGACCAAGUCAGUUUUCUCUUUCUGCUAAUUGCAAAGGAAACUUGGAGAAAGCAAGGUUGAAUUGAGAAACGAAUCAACCAACCAAACAAACCCUUCUUUCUCUCAUAUUUAUGUACUUAAGCUUGGUGGCUGCCCUGACCUGAGGGCCACAUACUUCCUGAAAACCAAAAGAUGAACUUGCAGGGCAAACUUCUUGCCUUUGGCUGGUGGUGGCCUUUCCUGUCCAGUUGCCAUGGAGACAGACCUGUGAAAAUCACUUAAAAGCAACUAUUUUACAAGGCAGGAUGUUAAAAUCCUUACUUCUGCCUUCAGUGAUUUGACAUCUGUUUCUGUCAAAACUCAAAUGGUAAUCUUAAGACCAGGAAGCUAAGAAUGAAAAAUCUGUGGGUUCGUUUUCAUUGCCAGAAACCAAAAUCAAUCUUUGGCCUAUAAGGUGACUACAAGUACACAGGUGACCUUUUAGUAUGAGUUUUUAUGUAUUAUUGCUUAGGUAAGAGCUGCACAGCCAAAUUAAGGCUGGAGUUUAAGUCUAUUCUGUGUUUUGAUUGUCUUCUUAAAUAAAUGUGUCGAAAAUCAGCAUUUAUCAAUUUUUAAAAACUAAACAUCUAUCUCCAAGAGACCAGGCAGACAGUUCUGGUUGUAGAUCUUCAUGACUGUUCAUCUUAACAGCCACAAUCAUUACUAACAGGAAAAAAAAAUGCACAGUAAUGUGCUGUCCUCAAAUGAAAAUGAUCUUACUGGCUGUCAUCAGGGAAACAUGCAGUUUUUUUUUUUAAUUAAGAAUUUUUUUUUAGUUGUAAAUAGACACAAUACCUUUUUUAUUUUAUUUUUUUUUUAAUGUGAUGCUAAGAAUCCAACCCAGUGCCUCACACAUGCUAGGCAAGCGCUGUACCACUGAGCCACAAACCUGGCCCCGCGUGCAGUGUUUUGUAGCAAAGGAUUGAUAAGAAUUUAACAAUUCAUACUCACUCACCUGGAUCACCUGCUUACUAAUGGCAAGGUGACAGAGAUUAACCAGAACAGGAUAUUUAGGGUAAAUCUGUGUUACUCAAAUCAACAUAUGUUUUCAGGGACUGUAAAUUCUAAGAGAAGUGUUACAUUUUUGUGUGUGUGUUUGGAUGAUUGUCUUUGAAUAUCUCAUCUAGUAUUUAGGAAAAUUUCCUCUUAAGCAAUAACAUGUCAAAAUAACUUUUUCAGAAAUAGAAUCAGAUACUGGUUUAGGUAACUAUUUAUCAGAUGGAGCCCUAUGGACUGCUAGUGGUCUGCUGAUGUAUUUUUGGACAGAGAAUUUGGUUCUUUAGAAAGAAUGUAUACAUUCUUUUUUACAAGUUUGAAAAAACCUACUAGAAAAUGUACAGGUCAGAUUUCAUAAUUUUUCUUUUGUUACUUUGUAAGGUGUAGUAAAGCAAACAAAAUAUAAGCUGUCAAAUCUUUGGCUUUUGAGAAAGUCAUUACCUUUUCUAGAAUUAGUUUCUUUGCUCAUAAAAUGGGAGAUCUUCUGGGAUUACCAUGAGCCUUGAAGGAAACAAAGUAUAUGAAAAUAUUAAUAAACUAUAAAGUGCUGUCCUGCAGUGACUAGUACUGUUGGUAUUUGCUUUAGGGUAGCGAUUGUGCUAGAACACUUACUACUUCAGAAAGUGUAUUGCAUGUUAUAUAAGGUCUUUAAGUUCUGAUUUCCUCGCCCAUAAAAUAAGUGCUGCUUUAUGAGUUUGUUGUGGGUAAAAAGUAUGAUCAUGCCCAUAAAAGAGUGAUCAUGGUGCCUAGCACAUAUGAAUCAUAGGUAUUGAUUUUCUAUUACUGGUAUGAUAGUUCUUGUGCAUAAUAUAUCAUUAUACUCACAUCAUCUGCAGUUUAGCUAAGCAUGAGUCAUCUAAAAUUUAAAAUUCUUCCAUAAAAACUUUAACAAUGAGAUGCUGUCUAUGGGGAUCAUUAUUCCAAUAAGAUACAAUAGCUUUCUAAUACUUCCCAGUGUAUGAAUCUUUAAGUUGACUGAACGUUAGCUCAUUCGAAUGAGUUUUAUACAAUUUAUGCAGGUCAUCUAGAGCAGUAAGUGCAAUUAGUUCUAAGUUAAAUAGAGGCUUAUCAAGUUAAAUAAACAGCAAGAUUUUUUAGAGUAUCUGAAUUAAUUCGAUACUGAUAGCUGCCAGAGUACUGGGCUGAGGUUCCUUUGAAGGAACCAUGAGCCCACUGGGUGCUUCACACCUUCAAGAGUUUAUAGUACAGACAGUACUUGCUGCCUUUCUCUUGGACAGCUGUGCUGCAAUCACACUGGGCCACAGACAUAUAGUCCUGGGCCGACACUGCCCUCUGGUGUUUGAUUCAGUGAGGUGGCAACUUCUGGUGUGCAGCAAUAGAGAAUCCACCAAACCCCAUGUCUCUCCAUGGACUUUUCCCAUCCCCUUCUUGCUCAACCCAAACCUUCGCCAGGAAAGUGUGUGUGUGUGUGUGUGUGUGUGUGUGUGCCUCUCCCCUUCAUUGUCUGUUUCUAUUGCACAUUAAAUCCAUUCUUCUUUUGCUAUUCUUUCCUGCACACAUCUAUCUUUUAUGCUCAUUUCCAUUGUCUGUCUUCCCACUAUUUGCUCAUUAAUGCUCAGAAAUAUCACUCCUUUAUCUUACAUGAUUUCCCCCUUCCAUCUCAUGUGAAAGGGCUGUAAUAAUUAUGACCAUUUGCUGCGGGUAUGGGGAGGAAUCAAGUUGGGAUCAAGGGAAGAGAUAGCUAUAAUAGUGACAUCAAAAGAGAUCAGUGAAGUCUUAGUGCUGCCAGAUGAUUAAAUCCUUCAAAGCACUCAGAAGGGCUCAGUAUCUCCAGAAUAAUCCAUUUUCUCCCUAGUUAAGCCUACUUUAGCUCAAGCACAAGGAUUACAGGUACAUUUAAAAGCAUUUUGGGGGGGUCUGGGGAUGUAGCUCAGUGGUAGAGUGCUUCUUGCUAGUGUCUCUCUGUCUCUCUGUCUCUCUCUCUCCCCGCCCCAGUCUUUUCAGUUGCUCGGUGUUUCUGUGUUGUGUAAGUAUAAAACUUCAUAAUGGGUCCCGCAUUGUAUCAGGUUUGGGAUUAUGAACAAUUGUUCUUUGGCUACAAAAUCAGUCAUUGCAAACCCCAAAGACCCUAUGCUUUGCUCUUCUAUUAACUUUUACAUGAAUUUGAAUGAAUAGAUGUUCUUUGUGUUAUUCAGAAUAGUAUAAGUUGUAUGCCACUAAACAGUACUCCCUCAAAUCCCUUGCCUUGACACCAUAGAAGGUGAUUUCUCACUCAGGCUGACCAUGUCGAGGCCAUGCCAUGUAGAAGAGGUGGACUCUGGGCUGCAGUAGGGGAGGAUAGAGAUGGAAGGAGCACCCUGGUUGUGUAAAGGAGGAGCAUCCCUUCAUCCUUAGAGUGAUACACACCAUCUUAUUGGCCAAAGAUAGCCACGUGACACCAACCGGAACUGGAAGGAAGCCUAGAAAAUCCCAACUGUCUUUCCAUGUCAUUCUUUCAUUUGAUCUGAGCUUUUACUUAUAUCCUGGGUCUCUUCCCAUUGAGCUAUCUGUUUCUUAUCUGUUCCUCUUCCCCUUUCAAGAUCUCCCAAUAAACAAAAUGGAACACUUUGUCAACCCUGAGACUGUUUAUAAUGCUGACCCUGGUUCUUUUCUGUUAUCCGUCUCCCAGACUUCACUUCAUCUCUCUGUGCUUCUUGGGAUCUUUAACUUCCUGUGUAAAUCCAACCUGCAAAGCACUACAAAUCAUUUUUUUUAAUUCCUUGUUUUCAUCUAGUUACCAUAUUUUCUAAGAUUCCACAAUGACUUUCUACAUAUGUGUUAAGUCUCACUCAUCCUGGCCGGGCCCUAAUAUAUACUAAUCUGUUUUGUCUGUCUUCUGAAUACAAGCAGUUCCUAAAAUCCGAUCUCUCUCCAGCUGAAUUUUCAGGGGCACUCCCAGGCAGGUGACUGUGAACUGUGGCAGACAUGCAUUUUCUGGUCUAAAGUAUCAGAUCCUUUAUGACAAGGGCCACUGCCAGGGUGUUUACCAUGGAUGGUUCUGAGUGUGCUAUACCCACCUAAACAUUAUCAAAUGUACCCUACUUUGUCAAGGCUGUUCUUUACAAAAUUCAAUAUGUGUGCAACUAGUAAAUGGUUUAGUUGUUAUAUGAAAAGUAAUAUCAAUGAGUAUAACAAUGAUAAGAUACAUGCAAACAGACCUUUUGAAAGGCAUCGAUUUAUUUUACUACUUUGGCGUCAUAAGAUUAAAAAAAUCAUAGCACAGAGUCAUACUAAUUUGGAAUAAAAUUUCAACGAUAGCCCCAUUGGCUGCACAUUGUUCCAUCGGCCCCCUGUAAAUGCUGCCUGUGGUCAGCAAUGCAGUGUUGAGUAUUUGGUUUUAAUGAUUAUUUUCUGAUUUCAUACAGCUUCCUCCGGCUUUGCACCACAAUUUGAAAAGAAGAGUUAUAGAGAGAUUCAAGAAAUCCCUCUUCAGCCAGCAGAGUAACCCUUGUAAUUUGAAAUCUGAAAUUAAAAAGGUAUGGUAUUCUAUAUAUAGGAAUUCUUUAGCUGAUAAAACACAUCAGUUACAUCUUAUUCUUCCUUUACUUUGUGCUUUGAGCUCUAUCCUCUAUUAAAGGGUUUUAUUACUGCUUAAAAUACCAAAUAAAGUGUAAGUCUUAGCCUCUCCCAAAGGUGAGAGCCUUUGUUUCUUUAGCCAUUAUUUUCAGAUGCUAAUAGAGAGUUCUUUCAGCAUUAUUAUGUAUUUUCCUAAGAAUAAAUGUUAUUAUUUAUUUAUUUGUGGUGCUGAGGGUUGAACCCAGGGCCUUGUGCAUCUGAGGCACACACUCUAUGAAUUGAGAUAUAUAUCCCCAGCCCAAGAAUAAAUGUUAUUAUAUAUCUAACUUAAUGUGUGUAUAUUUCACAUAUUUUAGAAGAUUCCACCCCAAUAUUUUAUUAGAAGGAGUCUACAGGGGACCCCCAAGUUGAACUUUGCCCUUUUAAAAAGGCAGUUGAUGCUCUGAGACCAUGAUUUUGAUGAUUUGUGAGAGGGCUACAUGAACUAUUUCUAAUGUUGUUUUUUUUCCCCAUAUUCAGCAAUCUCCUAAACUUGAGAUGCUAAAAAAUAUUUUUAUUCAUACAUUCACAUUUAGUGACUAAAUCACUAAAUUAACUAUUAGUGAUUGUUUAAUUGUUUAUUCUCUCAUUAGCACAACUUGGUGGCAGUAAAUCCCUCUGUCUUAGAAGUAGCCAUAAACUCAGUUUUCUUGUCCCUGAAAGGCCCAAAACACAGGUCAUUCAGCAAACCCAGGUAAAGAUGCUUGGUCCCCUUUCAAUUUUAUAUUUAAAAAUUUUUUUCUUUCUUUCUUUUUUUUUUUUUUUUUUUUAACAUUGUUAACCUUGGCAUGGACAUACCACCAAUGAACUUUCCCUUUGACUUUCUUUUCCCUAUAAUGUAUCUGGUCUUAAACAUGGAUUAGGAAUUAUUCAGGGAAUAUGAUAGGCUUUUCAAUAAGAAAGGCUAAUAGAACAUUUGCUCCGCUGCCUUCCAUCUUCCAUGCCUGCACCAUUAGUGCCUGUACACACUAAAAGGAGAUGGGGAGGGUACUCAGGUUGUAGGUAAAGAAAGCACAAACCCUGUCUCAUCAGAGAUUAGAGAGGGAGAUUUCUUUCAUGCAUUGUGUUGGCAAAUAAGGCCAAGAAACGAAACCAGAGGAGAUGGAAACAGAAACAGAGACCUCCCAUAUUUAUUUAAUGAUACUUACACUCUGUAUCCUGAAGACUAGUAAAUAUAUUUUUAAAAGACAGAAGCUCAUAUUUCCCACAAAAGAUUACCUAUUGCUUGGUUUCUCUAUUCUUAUUAAAGUGAUAUUCCCAAUAAUCCAUUUUGUACAUAAACUUAUUUUACCAGAAAUCCUAGUUUUAAAGGUGAAAGCUUCUACUACAAAGUGGUAUACACAAAGGUGGCUCUGACUCUUCCUUACUCAGUGAUUUUCCAACAGUGUGUGUGUCCUUAAAGCAAAUCAUUUUCAUUUUUUAUUACUCAGACUUCUGGUUCUGCAUCCUUGCCUUGCUGUCUUUCUCUCUUCCCCUGAAGGCAAGGAGAUUUCUUUUUGUUGAAUUGCACCUCCCCCUGCAGACCUGCGCUUUCCUCCUCUGCACCACGGUAGCAUCUCUUACUAGUGCAGUUAAUUUCUCUCCCUUCUGGUCUAGGGAGGAAAAAAAAUGGAGAUUAACAGGUGGUAUAAGUGUCCUGGGGGGAUAGAUAUAUCCUUAUUUUCAACUUCAUUUAAAAGCAGAUUCAACUCUCCUGUGAAGAUCACAGGGGUCCCCUUCUCUGAUUCUAUAAGCUCAUGGAAGUCUAUGGGACACCCUGUGUGGACCUUUGGGCUGGGAAAGAGGAAUGCUCAGCUCCAUCCAGGCUCUGUUGAAAUCUACUAAUAAGUAGGUUGUGUCUACUUAUUAGAAGCUCUAUAGGCUCCCAGGCUGGAGCCAUAAUGCUUAGAGCAUUAUGGUGUAUGCCUUCUUGCUCUGUCCCUUGCAGAGGCAGCCUUGACCCCUGUGUGUUAAGGAAACCUUGCCCAGAUGUUGACAUCCUUCCUGUUCUUCACCACUGAACUGAGAAGUCAGCUCCUCCAUAAAGGCUUCCUUUAAUUUUUCCUGUUCAGGGUUAAUCUCCCCUUUCUCUAUGACUGGAUCACUUUUUUACUCUUAUAUUUAAAGUAUUUUUUCUUCUGACUUACAGUUCUGUUUUCCCCACAGGCAGUGUUUCUGAUCCAUUUUGAAGGGUUUUAUGUAGUGCCUGGCAUGUAGCAGGUCCUUGAUGUAUAAUUAUUGAUUAUAGAAUGUAUCAUUUAUAUAUUCUGUAUCAGAUACUCUCGGUGUACUCAAUUCUUGAUUAAAAUAUAUAAUGAUGUAACAUAUUCCUAUAUUUCCAUAUGAAUGUUGAAAGAUCUCCAGCCCCCAUCUAAAUCUAAGUGAGAAAAUUGUGAGCUGUUUCCCACCUUUCUGGUAUAAUCUUUUGCUUGCAAUAAUUUUUUUCCAGAAGUAGAUUUUUCACUCUGUGUAUAGUCCUAAAGGAUUGGCCAAUUAGCCUUUGACUGAUCCAGUUGCCCCACAACAGGGCUGCACAUAAAAUACCCUUGAUUCUCCUCUCUCUCUCUCUCUCUCUCUUUCCUGAAACUAGAGACCCCAUGUCUCUAGGUUGAGAGCAAAAUUAGGGCUGAUUGUGUCUACUUAUUAAGAAAUUAGACACAGCAGGAUAUAUAGAGAAGUCGAAAACGGACGAGCCCUUUCCUAGGAAAUUAAAGUCCUUAUUUAUAAUUCACCUAAGGUGGUCUUCAGUACAGCCUGCUCCGUCUUGCCUGGAACUGCAGGGACAAUAAGGCAACCGAGUGACUAUAUCGGUGUCUUUGGGAACUAAGAUUUUCAUCAUGGGAAAAAGAAGAAACAGAAGCAAGAGGUCAAUUCAAAUUAGCACUGGCAGUAUCCCUUUGAAGGAAUAUAAAUUCAUGACAAAUCUUAAAAAAAAAUACACGUUUUCUAGUACCUAAACUAAAAUGGUUUAGGAACUAACCAAGCAGCAAUGAGCUCCUCUAUCUAUCCAUGGUUCCUCAGAGAUAGCUGAUGGGCUUGGAGCAGCAAGGACACAGGACUAGGUUGGAGUAUCUUGACAUAGCAUGUGUGUCAUCGAGGACAGCUGGGGGCAUAACCUGCAAAGGCUCCCACUGCCUAUCUUUGGGAUAAUUGGAGUACCCAUGAGAGUAAGAACCAAAAUGGAUAAUUGAAAGCAUUAAAUAAUGUUUAAAUCCAAGUGUUCAUAAUGAUACUGAAGAAAAUCUCUCAUUGGUUACUUCUCAAGAAUACUCAGUUCAUUAUUUUAAAAAUUGUUUGCAAAUGUAUUCUGUCUGUCCUUUAUUAACUCUGUCUUGGGGUAACUAAAUGGUUGGUGAGGGGAAGUUUCUCAUUAUGGAAGGACUUACUAAUAACUGCCAAAGGAGUAAAGAAUAUUAUAGUUAUGCAGCCCCUGGUGAUAGAGUGGAUCUAGAUAUGAUCCUCCAAUGGCUACUAACAUCACAAGAACAGGGACAACCUGGCAUGCUAUGCCCCCUGAUGGAAAUGAACAACACUAAGUCUUCUUCUUGCUAAAAGCUUGCUUCUACAUCUGAUCAAGCCUCUAAAUACAAAGUCAACCAGACUUUGUAUAGUUAGAGCCCUCAGAUCAAUGUGGUUGCCACCUGGCUUUGCAAAAAGUUUUAUUUACACAAUCCUAUGCAUUCACUUAUAUAUUGUCUAUGGCUACUUUUGCAUUCCAAGCAGAAUAGUGUAGCUGAGACAGAGGCCAUAUGGCCUCCAAACCCAAAACCUUUACUAUCUAACUGUUUUAAGAAAAUUAUUUGCCAAUCCCUGCUCUGGAUCAAGCUUACCACUUGCAGCAAAUUCAGAAGAGAAAGAGAACAUAUUAAUUGAUAGCAUGAGGAUAAUUGUGGAUAAUUGGAGUAUUGGAGUAAUUGGAUUAAAACCCAUACAUGGAAAUUCUGCAGGAAAACUGACCUGUUUUUUUUCAAUAAAUAUAUUGUUAGGAGGAGUGGAGAAAGAGAAAGGAAGAGAAAAGGAGGGGAGAGAAAGGAAGAGAGGGAUUGCCUAUAAAGUUUAAAACAUUUUAGGGAAAAUAUCAACCACUUGCAAUAUAUGGACUUACUCCUUACUAACUUAAAAAAAAAAAACUUGAAAAGCAAAGUUCAAAACACGUAUUUUUUUUGAGAUAAUCAGGAAAAUGUAAACAUUGGUUGUAAAUUUUGUUUUAUUAAGGGAUUAGUCAUUUCUGUUGGGAUAGCUGUAUUCUGAUUAUUUUUAAAAAUAAAUCCACAUUUUUUCCAGUGCCACGUUGAGAUUUUAUGGGUGGCCUAGUGUGUUUAAAGGGUUCCUUUUCCAGUUUCUGUAUGUAGAACUUGCAUAGGUAGGACAGGAUGUGGAGGAGAUAUAAAUGAGGCAACCUGUUUAAGCUGGUUGGUGGGUUAACGGAGUUCAUCGUGUUGUCCUCUCUAGUUUUGUUAAAUGUUAGAAAUUUUUUAAAUAAUAAAAACAAUCAUGCAUUUAGUUUGAGUGUUGAUGCCAGAUCCCUCCCAGACCAAUGUCUGGGCAUGAGUGUUUUGAAAACAGCUCACCUAGCAAAGCUGCCACAUAGAACUGUAGUGGUUCUGUCCUAUCCAAAAGCACCUGGAUGAAGGGUUUACUGGGCUGCAUCCUCUGGGGUAAGAAGGUGGCUUUUUAAAAUUUGUACAAAAGCACAAUGGGCACUGGAGCCAUGUGAUUCUAGCAGGUAGCAAGGGCUGAGAACCAUUAUGUUAUAAGUUACAAACAUCAUUUGGACCAAGAAUGAAUACAAACAAAACAAUCUAUACCCAGGUGAGAAGCAGCUAAUGAUUUAAGCAUUGAGCCAUGGCCAGGAGUUCUUAAAUUUUGCUGCUUACUGGAAUUACCUAGAGCUCUUAAACAUAACAGGCCGCAUGUCCCUUCCAUCACUUAAUCCCCCACGGAAAUGGAACUCCAGAGAUUCGAUCCAGGUAUUGGUUUGUUUUUAAAUCUCAGGUGAUUUCUUUGUACAGACAAGGUUGAAAAUCAUUAGUCUGGUAAGGUCAACAUUUUUCAUAUCUUAUUGUGCAUAUCUGUCACCUGAGUUAUUAAUGUGGGUUGUGAUUCAGUAGGUCUGGUGAGGAGGGGAGAUUGUGCUGUGCCCAUCUAGGGGCAUGCUUUGAGUAGCUGAGCUGUAUAGAACAUAGUGUCUAUCCACUAGGAACAUCUGGUGUAUCCAAAGACUUUUUGUUAGAAAGAUGGUCUGUCUAGUAGGCCAAAAAAGUUAUCUAGAUACAAUCCCAUCCUGGGCCUCCAUUUCUGCAUUUUACCCAGCUCCUCCAGUGCUGCUGCUGCUGCCAUUCUAGGGAGCACCCUUUGAUGGGAAGGCCUAGAGAAAACCCUGUGAUGGUCUUCCAGUGGUGUGGGGUAUAUGGCCCAGAACUUCUUCCUCUAGGCGUGUGCCUCCCUGGUUCUUCUCUUCUGUUUCCAAUCUGGUGUGCACUUGAGUGCAGAUCAGCAGGUCAAGUUUCCAUUAUUUAACAGCUGGCACAUUCUUUGCUUCUUUACUCCAGCUUUUCAGCUCUUUUUCAGGCAGGCAGAUUGCUCAGCAUCCUGGACUUAAUUAAUUAAUUAAAUGGUCCUUUAUGCAUAUAAUCAUCAUGGUUUAUAUUUGCCUAGUCCUUGCCAGGGCCCUUGGAGACAUCAUAAAUCAGCAGGUGCAGCACGAACCUGUUUAGACCAAGUGGAGGAGGACCUAUAGCAGGGCUCUCCUGCCUGGCAGACUCAGGCCACCAUUCCCUCUUUGCCUCGACCCCACCAUCAGUGUCCGAUUCAGGGUCUGCAGAAGACAAAUCUUCUGGGUAAUUAAUGGUAGAUUUCCAGUCUUUUAGUUUUGCUAGGUAGACAAAAAUUCUUGAUGGGAAUGUAAGGCCCUAUAUAGCAGGGCUACUUUUCAUUAGCAGUGGGGACUUUGAGAGUGUUGGGGGGCUGAUGAUGGACAAGCAUAUGUGGGUGCAUGUGCAGAUGUGUGUGUAUGUGUGUGUGUGUGUGUGUGUGUAAGAAAACAAAAAAAAAAUAAAGACUGGACACUUUUGUUAACAAAGUGGCCUAUAAAAAGCUAAUAAAAAGCUAAUCGGAGCUGUAGGUUAGAAAAGAUGCAAAAUUAGGAAAUAAGUUAUGUCUUAUAAUGAUGCAGUUCAGUCAAAGAAGACAAGGAAAUCCGAAAGGAAAUGAGACCAGAGACCAGCGAGUGCAGAGUGAUGGAACAUGUUGUGAAUUUUCUCACUGCUGGUACCUCAUUUCAUUUAUGUUUGGCUCAGUUUCUUCCAGAGUCCUACCUCAGUUGCAUUAGAUCCCACAUAAUUUGUGUAGUUGUUCUGCAGCAGAUAGCCUUAUUUUAUGAUAUGGGAAAGAAAAUGUUGUUUGGGAAAUUUAGUAGCGAUUACAUUUGUAGUUUCUCAUUGUUUUCUUCUGUUUUAGGUUCUGUCUAAAAAGUACUAUAUUCUAUUGACCAGUAAGUGCUCAAAUUGCAUAAUACCUGUUCAAAGUCAAUGGUGUUUGGGGAGGAGGAGGAGGAGGAGGAGGAGUGGGAAUAGGGAUAUGCAGCCUGUUCUCUGGAAUGUAUUUAUUUGACUUGCUUAGUUCAAAAGUGUGUAUCAACUGGGCAGGCUGGGGAAUGCCCAUAACCCCAGAGAUUCUAGAGGUUGAGGCAGAAGGAUUCCAGGUUCAAAAUCAGACGGUGUAACUUAGCAAGACCCUGUCUCAAAAUAAAAAGGAAAAAGGGCUGUGGGUAUAUAACUCAGUUCAAUCCCCAGUUCCCCCACCAAAUAGCAUGGAUUAUUGUUUGUUCUUCAGAACUGUAAUGUCUGUUCAGAGCAAGAGAGCCCUCUUAUUUCAGUUCAGAAGAAGGUCUUAUACAUGUUUCCAAAUAGCAUGUGUGCCACACACAGGAGGUACACCUGUCAGUGGAAGGUUCACAGUGCACUGAGGACUUGGGCAUGCUGGCCCAGGACUGCUGAUCCACUGGCUUGCUGUGAGGGCCACUGCUUUAAAGGUGUCCUGCUGUGUCUUCCCUAUUUCCGCCUCCUGGGGAACAUUUACUUUACCAUCUGGCACACCCAGGAUUAGACUUGCCACCUUGUUCUCCCCUCCUCUGUCCACCCCAGUAACACUGGCAACGUAAGUUUGCCUUCUGCUCCGUCUUUAAAUCUUGGCGUCUCUUUCAACUGCUUCACUUCAUUUUUCAGACACUUAUUUCUCUGCAGUAAUGGGGAGUGAACCCAGGGCCUCACACAGACUAGGUAAUUUCUCUGCCACCAAGUAUUUUUUGUGUCCCCCAAGUUAUUAGCAGUUGGGACUGGUGGCAGGAUGGAUGGUUCUGCUUGACCUUUGGUGGUAGGCAGCCCUGGGUUCCGGCCCUGGUUCUACCACUUAAUAGCUAUGCUCUUUGGGAAAAUUAGUUUAUCUCCCUGUUUCCUCACCUGUAAAGUGGGGAUGAUAUUUACUUUAGGGGAUAGUUAUAAGAACCAAAUAUAUUAUUAAAUAUGACUAGAGUGUCACAAGCAUCCCUAGCUGACAGUGGGUGCUACUGUUGUUAUUAAUGCUGGCUCUUCCACAUCCUUCCUUCCUUUGUCACCUGGUCCAGGUUCUUGGCCCUUCCCUCUUUCAUCAGCGCCACAGCUGCUUUGCAGAUCUCCUUGUUUCCCAGACUAUCAGACUUAAAGAUAGUUCUUUAACACUUGCUUUUUAUUAUCAUACUAAAAAAUGUUAGUAAUUUCUGAAUCCAUCAUCUCAACUCUGGGAUCCAGCUUUCCAGACUAGAUGAGUUACUUAGUAAUAAGUCACUGAUUUAUUUAGUUGAGCCUCCUCAUACUCCUCCUAGUGUGUCUGCAUUCACCCUGCUCUCCCAGCCCCAAUCCAACCACUAUGCUCAUUGCAUUGCAUCAAGGGUGAUUCUUUCAAAGCAGACCAUCUCCCCCACCUCUUUCUCUCUCACAUACUCUCUCUCUCUCUCUCAAUCUCUCUCUCUCUCUCUCUCACACACACACACACACACACACACAUACACACACACGUAUCACAGAAAACCCUUUGGAGGAUCAUUUAAUAGAAUACAAAAAUCCUCUCCAUGUUAUUUCCACUCCCAUUUGGUCCAAACCCUGCUUAUCUCUCCAUCACGUGCUGCUCUUGCCCCUUGCUGUCUCCAGAGCAGCCACGAGAGCCCUUUUCUAUAGUUUGCUUAUCUGCCAUGCUGUCCCGCCAGUCUUUGAUCAUGCUUUCCCCAGGCUGUAAUGCUCUUUCCACCCGAUCCUUCACUCAUUCUUACUUAUUACCUCAGUGCUUGGCAUAAGUGGUACCUUGGGAAAGCCUUUCCUGGAUAAAACAAAUCUAUCAUCACCUCCUAGAGCCACAGACCUGCCCUUCAAGGCAUUCAGCACAGUUGCAAUUUUACACGUGUCCAACUAAAUAUUUUACAGGCACACCUCCCCCCUAAGUAGGCAGCAAGCUCCCAGAGGAUAACUUGAUCGUCACUGAGUUAUUUCAUUCUUUGGAUUGGUGUUUGGCACAUAGUAGUUGAUUUUAAAACUUCACCGAACUAAUGAAUGUCACUUCCCCCUUCAUUCUGAAUCCUUGUAACUCCAUAACAAUGGACUCAUGUCAUUUUCCUCUCAUUGUUGUGUCUUCAGUCUGCAGUGCCUGACUGUUACCCCAAACUCCCCUCACCUGGAUUGCCAGCUUUGCUUCCUUCAUUCCACCCACCCACAUCCAGGCUUGGUUUCCAUGUUCCUUCUACAGAACCUCUGCAAACCCUGGUGGCCUCCUCUUUUAAAGUCUAGAAUGCACCGUCUCAUACUUCAUGAUUUCUUGUAUCACCAUUUCACAGAUGUUAACCUAUUCUUCUAGUCAAGAUACAGAUCUUGUAGAAGGCAGAUCAUGCCUGCAGCCUGCUCAUAUCAUACAGAACACGCUGACCAACACACAGGAAGGAGCAAAAUGUUUGCUGCAAGAAUACAUGUAUCUAGAAUCUGAAGCACAAAUAGAAGUUCAUAAGAAGCUCUUCGCAUAAAAAUAAACAUACAUGGGUUCAAAUGCAAGGCCAGUGGCUUUUAGUCUUUGCCUUCAUCCAUGGGCCCAUUUCUUUGAGGUUCCAAAGCUAAAGGAGAUAGCUAAUGUGACAUAAGACUGGAAACCUCAAAAAACGUUUUCUUUAAGCUUUAAAAAUCAAUGAAUAAAACUUGUUUUUUUUUUUUUUAUACAAUAGCAGCCUUGAUCUCUCUAGGUCACCCACCCUUUAUAUACUUUUCUCUGGGGCUUUUUGGGUGUGAAAUCUUUAGGAUUUCAAGAUAUAAACUUCUUAAUUAAAUUGAACAAGCUUUCUGUAAUGAAGGGGAACAUUUCAAGGCAGCCAAAUUACUCCUGUGCCAAGCAUAGGAGAAAUAUCCCUAUGGUCAUUUGAAAGGUAAUGCCAGGAAAUUAUUUUCAGCAUCAUAAUACAUAUUAAGAGGCUUAGCUGGAAUGACCUGCUCGCCGGGUAGGGAAAACACAGAAUGCUUAGGGCUGACCUCCAGGCACUGUCAGAUGUGACUGUCAGAUCCUCCUGCAUUACAGUGUGCUACAAUCUUACAGUCUUGUCAUAUUACAAAUAGGUUAUUAACUAAAGUAAGGAAAAUAAAAUUUCAAGAAUAAAAAAGGCUGGAAUUAUUUUUUCUUCUAGUGUCGUAGAUGUUUGGUAAUAUGGAGACUGGAAAACACAUAAAUUGGGGCUGGGGAUGUGGCUCAAGUGCUCGCCUGGCAUGCAUGCAGCCCGGGUUCGAUCCUCAGCACCACAUACAAACAAAGAUGUUGUGUCCGCCAAAAACUAAAAAAUAAAUAUUAAAAAAAAACAAUCUCUCUCUCUCUCUCUCUCUCUUUAAAAAAAAAAAAAAAAAGAAAACACAUAAAUGAUUUGUAUUUGCAGUAUCCAAAGUACAAUGAUGGAAUAAUUAGUUAUUACUUGCUUAUAUAAAAUAUUUUCAUUAAGGCAUAAAAUGCAUGAUGCAUACAAUGAUGUACAUAUACAGCCAGCACCAUAAGUUUGUAGACAUUUAUAUGAAUCCACAUUUAUAUAUGUUCGCCCAGGUGACCAUAUAGAACCCACAUCAACAUAUAGAACAUUUCCUACCCCACAGAGGCCUCCUGCUGGUUAAGCUCCUUCCCUUGCCACAACGUAAUCUUUAUCCUGAUUUCUUUCACCUUUGAUUAGUUUUACCUGAUUAUGAAAAUGUAUAUAACUGAAGCCAGGUGCUAUGUAUUCUUUUGUUUCUGGUUUCUUUUGUUCAACACUCAUCCUUGUUUUGAGAAUUCAUAGUUUGUUCUUUGUUAUUGCUUUGCAGAAUUCCAUUGUAUGAGCACAUUAUGAAAUAUCUGUUCUUCUAUCCAUGGACUUUGGGAUUUUUUUCCAGUUUUUAGUUAUUAUUAAUAAGGCACUAUGAACAUCCUUUCCCUUGUCUUUUGACGGAUAUAUGUACUGAUUUCUCUUAUAUAAAUCCUUAAGGGUGAAAUCACUGGGUUGUAGGGUUGGUGUGCGUUGUUUAACGUCCCAUAUACUGUCAGGUUUCUCAAGUGAUUGAACAAGAAUGUAUUUUAAUUGGCAAACAGAGUGUAUGAAUUCAGAGUGACUACUAUUGUUUAGUCCAAAUUAUGCCAUUUGUCUCUAAUUUAUUGAUAUUUGACCUUUUUAAAAUAUUUCAACUCAGGUAUUAAAAUUGGGUCAUCCCAAGUGCUGGUUGAAAUUAAAGGUGAAAGGAGUUGAAAAACAUCAAUAGCUUAAAAUUCCAUUUUAAAAAUGCAGCUUUAUAGGAAGACAUUAAGCUGUUGGAGCUCUAAUAAAUUCUGUCUUUGGUGAAUUACUCUUUUCUUCAGAGUGUUAGGAACUAAUGUUUGGAGAUUAACCUUAAUUAAUAGUAAUUUAGCAAAACGUAAUAAGAAACUGGUUUGUCUUGGUCAAACAAGAAGGCAUUGUUCAAAGCAGAAACAUGAGAAAGGGCUGGGAUCUGGACUAAACAUACUCUUCUGUUGAAUAAUUGGAGUUUAUUCCUCCUACACUUGAUUAAAAAUAACAUCUUGAUGUCCCAGGCCCAAGCCAUUAUUUUUCUAUCCAUUUUUAUUUUUGCUCUCAUAAAGCUAUAAAGUGCAUUUUUUUUCAUGUGACCAGGGAAUUGUCUAACUUGCUUUCACUGUAAUGUGCCCGCUUCCAAUUUAUAAGUUCUAUUGGAAGGAAGAUGUUUAUCUCUUUUCAAGGGAUUGAAAUCCACAGAGCACUAAAUUUUCUACACAGAGACAUGGGGAAAUGGAAAACACCACACAGAGGUCUCCUGUCAUUUGUUUCUGAAUAUAAAAUAAGACGUAGGUUUGCUUUUUUUCUGUUUCAGUUAUCUCAGGGAUCUCCAGAACCAAUCGAGCCAAACUUCUUUACGGCAGAUUACCAUUUAUUACAUCAUUCAUUGGGUGGAAACAGCCUGUCCUCAAAUGACCUGACAGGUAAUGGUCAUCAACAUG
rnacentral:lncRNA from 1 species